GAUGAACGCUGGCGGCAUGCCUAAUACAUGCAAGUCGAACGAGGGUCCUUCGGGACUCGAGUGGCGAACGGGUGAGUAACACGUAGGGAACCUGCCCGUGCGACCGGGAGAACUUUCGGAAACGGAAGCUGAUACCGGAUAGGGACAGAGACGGCAUCGACUCUGUGUUAAAGGAGCUGAAAGGCUCCGCGCACGGAUGGACCUGCGGUGCAUUAGCUAGUUGGUGAGGUAACGGCCCACCAAGGCGACGAUGCAUAGCCGGCCUGAGAGGGCGGACGGCCACACUGGGACUGAGACACGGCCCAGACUCCUACGGGAGGCAGCAGUAGGGAAUUUUCGUCAAUGGGCGCAAGCCUGAACGAGCAAUGCCGCGUGAACGAUGAAGGUCUUCGGAUCGUAAAGUUCUGUUGAAGGGGAAAAAGAGCGGAGAGAGGAAAUGGUCUCCGAUUGAUAUUACCCUUCCAGGAAGUCACGGCUAACUACAUGCCAGCAGCCGCGGUAAUACGUAGGUGGCGAGCGUUAUCCGGAAUGAUUGGGCUUUAAGGGUGCGUAGGCGGACUGCUAAGUCUGGAGUGAAACGUACCUGCUCCACCGGUACAGGCUCUGGAAACUGGCGGGCUAGAGAGCAGGAGAGGGCGGUGGAACUCCAUGUGUAGCGGUAAAAUACGUAGAUAUAUGGAAGAACACCAGUGGCGAAGGCGGCCGCCUGGCCUGUUACUGACGCUGAGGCACGAAAGCGUGGGGAGCAAAUAGGAUUAGAUACCCUAGUAGUCCACGCCGUAAACGAUGAGGACCAAGUGUUGGGGAAGACCCAGUGCUGCAGUUAACGCAGUGAGUCCUCCGCCUGGGGAGUAUGCACGCAAGUGUGAAACUCAAAGGAAUUGACGGGGGCCCGCACAAGCGGUGGAGUAUGUGGUUUAAUUCGAAGCAACGCGAAGAACCUUACCAGGCCUUGACAUAGGGUGCGAAGGUAUAGAGAUAUACUGGAGGUUAACAUCCAUACAGGUGGUGCAUGGUUGUCGUCAGCUCGUGUCGUGAGAUGUUCAGUUAAGUCUGGCAACGAGCGCAACCCUCGUGAUGUGUUACCAAUAUCGAGUUAGGGACUCACAUCAGACUGCCGGUGAGAAACCGGAGGAAGGCGGGGAUGACGUCAAAUCAUCAUGCCCCUUAUGGCCUGGGCUACACACGUACUACAAUGGCGGCGACAGAGGGCAGCGAGCCUGCGAAGGCAAGCGAAUCCCAAAAAAGCCGUCCCAGUUCGGAUUGGAGUCUGCAACCCGACUCCAUGAAGUUGGAAUCGCUAGUAAUCGCGGAUCAGCAUGCCGCGGUGAAUACGUUCUCGGGCCU
rnacentral:rRNA from 1 species